UUUGGUUUGUUACGUGUGGUUGGCUGCGGCGUUUGCAACAACUUCCAUGCUUUCAGACCUCUUCAGUUGUGCGGCAAGGCUUGUAUCGCCUUGAGCGUGCUGUGGGUUUUCUGUGUUGGCUACCUAAUCAAUGGUAUCGGUUGGAUUGAUCAAAGUUUGAUUUCGUCUUCCGUCGCAUUCGCGGCGUGGGGUGAACCUCGAUGCGGUCUCUUUGAUCCACCUCGUUGAAGCACAUGCCUCGACGUUGUGGCACAUUGAGCAUUGCUUGGUCUCUUGUAUACGGAACAUAUAGUGGGCAUGGAUCUAACGAUUCUCGUUUGCCCUCAUAUUAGCGUAACGCUUCUCUAACACGACUUGCGCCACGUUUUAG
rnacentral:misc_RNA from 1 species